CUCCACUGUCCCUGACAACCCCUUCGUCCGGACCCUCCCCCACACAACUAUGUCUGGUCACCAGCUCCCUCCUGCUGGCACCCAGAGACCCGGACCCGCAGGGCCUGCCUGGUUCCUGGAAGUCUUCCCAGUCUUCCCAGCCAGCCCGGGCCCUGGGGAGCCCUGGGCACAGCAGCGGCCGAGGGGAUGUCCUGCUCCAAUACCCGCACUGCUCUGGAGUUUGCCCUCUUUCCCAAGGAGAUGCUGCUGGGGAGCUGGUAUGGGUGGGGUCUUUCCCUUUACAGACGGGGCAGAUGCCAGGACUCAGCCCAUCCUGAGGAGGACACGUGUCCUCAUGGAGAGGGUGCUCCGGCCCAGGCGGGGGAGUCAGUGCCCAGUCAGCAGCUCUGCCACCAUCCUGCUGGGAACUGGGGGGGCCUCUAUUGGGUUAUAGGCAAGGCCUUUUCUCUGGCAUGGAAUUGUUAAUUUUCUGACACGUCUAGAUGUGAAAUUUCUGAAAAUGUUGAAGCAGAGAAACAUUCACACACAAAAAGCAACAUAGUCAUGUGGGUCCAGAUGGCCUCAGUCCUAGAUGUUGGCACCCUUUGCUGUGUCUCCUCAGAGUAUCCUGUUCCGCCUCCUGCCACCUGGACCUCCCUCAUGGGGGUGGAUUUCAGAGCCUCUCAUGGCAGCAUCUAAGUGACCAGAGCUGGGAUGAGAGAGGGGAAGGGGCAAUGUGAGUGGCGCUAUGGGACGGGCCAGCCCUGCUCCUGAGCCAGCCCCGCCCUCUGCCCCCUGGCCCUGGGCUCUGUGCUAGGGAUGGUGAAGAAUGGGGGCGUGCCAGCCUGGCAGGAGUGGGAAGCAACACGCAGGGGUCCCGGACCUCUCCAGCCUUGCCCUCACGCUUACCCGAGCUCCCAGUGUGGUUAGCACAGAGCUCACCCACCUUGCCUGGCUCCCAGCUGGGGCCUGUCCUCACUGGUGCUCCAGGGGAAGAAACGACAGCCUCACUUCUGUAUGGACUGCUGAUGUGGCCUGCCAUCCUGUUCAGCGGGCAUUGUCUUUGGAGCAGCAGGAGAAUAGGAUGCCUCUCACUCACAUGCCAGUUCCUGGCUGGCCAGCUGCUCAGGGCUCAGGCUGGGGCCUCCCAUUGACAUCCUCCCCCUACACUCCCUCUCUGAGCCUCCGUCGCCCCUCCUGUUGGGUAAGGGUGUUGAGUGUGACUUGUGCUGAAAACCUGGUUCAUAUAUAAUAAAUAAUGGUGAUGAAAAGAU
rnacentral:lncRNA from 1 species